ACUCACAGAAGCCGCUGGAGUUCACCAACACGUUGGUCUUAAAGGUGGCAUCGAACUUAUCGUGAGCGCUAAAGAAGCAGAGGAAUAGUCAGAACGAAGCAGACACAUAUUCAUCCCUCUCUCCGGUGCUUAUUAAACGCUGCGUUUGGGUAGAAGGAGGAAGCUGUCAUCCUGCAGAGGCAGCCAUUACUAUGAUAAUGAAUCGUAAGCAGCCUCUGGGAUGAUUCUGUGCUGCAAAAAGCUUUCCAGCUCACAGAUCAAUAUCACAUUAUUAAUGUUUUCUGUUAUAUUCACCAUCUGCAGCCAGGCGUUCGUCGUCAGGAUCUGGUUCUUUUCAUCCUAGCAAGACACAAAGCGAACAAGAUAAUAAAUGAUUUUGGGAUUCAGUGGAUAAUUUCAUACUAUUUCAAUGCUGAACUAAUAAGAAAAAAAAGCUUAAUUAAAUAUUGUCUGCUGUGAUUCUCCUUUCUGCUCACACUGCCCAAUAAAAUGUCACUGCAAAGUUUGUAAA